AGUGAACGCUGGCGGUAGGCCUAACACAUGCAAGUCGAACGGCAGCACAGUAAGAGCUUGCUCUUACGGGUGGCGAGUGGCGGACGGGUGAGGAAUACAUCGGAAUCUACUUUUUCGUGGGGGAUAACGUAGGGGAACUUACGCUAAUACCGCAUACGCCCUACGGGGGAAAGCAGGGGAUCUUCGGACCUUGCGCGAUUGAAUGAGCCGAUGUCGGAUUAGCUAGUUGGCGGGGUAAAGGCCCACCAAGGCGACGAUCCGUAGCUCGUCUGAGAGGAUGAUCGGCCACCUUGGAACUGGGACACGGUCCAGACUCCUACGGGAGGCAGCAGUGGGGAAUAUUGGACAAUGGGCGCAAGCCUGAUCCAGCCAUACCGCGUGUGUGAAGAAGGCCUUCGGGUUGUAAAGCCCUUUUGUUGGGAAAGAAAAGCAGCAGGUUAAUACCCCGCUGUUCUGACGGUACCCAAAGAAUAAGCACCGGCUAACUUCGUG
rnacentral:rRNA from 1 species